rnacentral:rRNA from 1 species
UACGUAGGGGGCAAGCGUUGUCCGGAAUCAUUGGGCGUAAAGAGCGCGUAGGCGGCCCUGUAAGUCCGCUGUGAAAGUCAAGGGCUCAACCCUUGGAUGCCGGUGGAUACUGCAGGGCUAGAGUCCGGAAGAGGCGAGUGGAAUUCCUGGUGUAGCGGUGAAAUGCGCAGAUGUCAGGAGGAACACCGAUGGCGAAGGCAGCUCGCUGGGAUGGUACUGACGCUGAGGCGCGAAAGCGUGGGGAGCAAACAGG